UUUACAGGAACCAUAAGAAAAGAGAAGUCCAGAUGCUUCUGAGAGGGUCCCAGCUCCUGAUUUGCAUAUGUGGAUGGCUCAGAUCAAGGCUAUCUGUUCAGCAAUGCCAGUCAUCCCCUACCAAGGAGUCACUGAGUUUUCCCAAGCACACAUAUUACUUCCCUUUUUUAGACAAAGGCAGAAUGGCAGUUUCCUUCUACCCAUUUCUGAUCUUUUCAUCCUCUUUGUUCUUACUCCAAAAUGGAUGUUUAUUCUGAAUUAGAUGCCUAUUACUGAACCCUAGAGGUACUGAAGGAAUACCUGAGAUGCAGAUGAAGUCAUGACAACAAUUGUGACAUCACAGAAGAAAAAUCUCUCCAGGUUACAAGAGAUUUUUCAGGCAAGGCCUAAUGAUGAUAUCACUGAGAACUGCCAUGGCCUACGUGCUGAACAGCUUUCCUUACAUUGACCAUAUUUGAGGGUGUCCUUUCCUGGAACCACUAGAAGCAGGGAAGUCCAGAUGCUUCUGACAUGCUCCAAGCUCCGAGCUCCUGAUCCCAUGUGUGGAAGGCUCAGAUCAAUUCUAUCUCUUCAAGACAGGAGGGUAGCAUUAUUGUCCUCUGCAAGACUCAACGGAGCAGCCGACUGACACAGGUGCACAGACAUACGGCCAAAUAUCGAAUGGAGCUCAGUGAGUCUCACUGAAGGGCUGAGGGAAGGGCAGACAGAGACAGAGGAGCACAAUGAUCUUCAGGUGGGGUCACUAAACCAGUCGCUUGUCUGUGGA